rnacentral:misc_RNA from 1 species
AAAUAUUCUUGAAUCAGUUGCAUCUAUUAAAAAGCAAAUGGCUUUGGCUUUCAUUUCUACCCAUUAAGCUAUAACUUCGCAAUUUGCAAUUUGGGUUCUAGAUCUCAUCUAGACACUUCUUAUUCUUUCCUCAAUGAAGAGCUUCUUGAAUUUGAGGAAAGUGAACGAAAAUCUAAAGCUGAUAGUUCUCUGCAAUCCUUACGAAUGCCCCAUAGAAUCUCCCCACAUUUCUUCAUGCCCGGUCGGCUUUGUCUGCGUGGGGCCAAACACUGCAAGGCUAAUUCAAGAAUCUUCUCAAGGAGCAAAUUGGUUACGUCAGUACGUUCCAGCCUUGGGUCCAAGGUUGAAAUUGCAUCUCCCUCAGCAAAUUUCUUCAUAGCCCAUCUUGCAGUUAUCCGCUCCCUAAGUUCCCUUUUUGGUUCAAUAGGCCGCCUACCAGUUACUAGUUCAAC